CCCUCCCCUUUUCUCCACAUAUGAGCCGAGCUCCUCGAGCUCUCUCUCUCCUGUUAUGUCUAGCCACCACCGGCCACUGCCGAUCUCCCUCACCGGAGUGUUUCUGGCCAAGCCCUUGCGCCAUCGGGUUUGCCUCGACGAGGCGAACUCAUUUUCCUAGUUUCCCCUUCCUUUCCCCUUCCGAAACCAACCAUCACAGCCACCUCCUCUUGUUGCCGGAGCAAGCUCUUGCCUUCGCCGUUCCGGUCUCCUCCCUAACCCUCUCUACCGGAAACCACCCUCCCUGAGUGCGCGUUGCUCGGGAACGCGUGUUGCCGCCGGCGUCACAGUCUUCUAUCCACCGGAGAGCCGGCGCCCCUCCUCUCCCUUCUCUCUGUUUGUUCGUGGAGAAAGAGAGAAGAAGCAGGAAAGAAGAAGAAGAAGAAAAAGAGAGAAAAAGAAAAAGUCUGACAGAGUCUGUUAUAUUUUGGAUGGCAACCUGUGGUAUUUCAAGGAUCGGAUAAUCAGGUUGCCUAUCUCGGAUUUAUUUGCGUUGGAGCAA